rnacentral:rRNA from 1 species
UACGUAGGGGGCUAGCGUUGUCCGGAAUCAUUGGGCGUAAAGCGCGCGUAGGCGGCCAGAUAAGUCCGGUGUGAAAGCCACAGGCUCAACCUGUGAAUGCCGCUGGAAACUGUCUGGCUAGAGUCCGGGAGGGGCGAGUGGAAUUCCUGGUGUAGCGGUGAAAUGCGCAGAUAUCAGGAGGAACACCAAUGGCGAAGGCAGCUCGCUGGGAACGGAACUGACGCUGAGGCGCGAAAGCGUGGGGAGCGAACAGG